UACGUAGGUGACAAGCGUUGUCCGGAUUUACUGGGCGUAAAGAGCGCGCAGGCGGUCGAUCAAGUCGAGUGUGAAAGCCCCCGGCUCAACUGGGGAGGGUCAUUCGAUACUGAUCGACUCGAAGGCAGGAGAGGGUAGUGGAAUUCCCGGUGUAGUGGUGAAAUGCGUAGAUAUCAGGAGGAACACCUGUGGUGUAGACAGCUUACUGGACCAUUUCUGACGCUGAGACACGAAAGCGUGGGUAGCAAACAGG
rnacentral:rRNA from 1 species